ACUCUCGCUCUGGCCACGUCACAAAAAAAGAGGAGAACCUGGAGCUCUGCAGGUGGCAUGCUGAGCCAUGUGCCAGUCCAACACACAACUUAAUGGGUUUAAAAAUCAAUAAAUAUACCAAGCUUGAGCCAUCAAGUCUCCUCUGCUUUUUAAAAAUUAAAGGAACUUUCAGCCAGGAAAAGGAUAAUAACCAGUGAUCCGCCAUGCAGCAUGGAAGUUCUGCUGUGAGUCAGUUUCCUCAAGUCAAAGCUAUUGGAUGACUGAUGCCCUGACUAAUUAAACAACUAGCCAAGGUUUAUAAUUCUUGGACAAAACCUGUCCCACCCAGAAGGCUACUCUGCCUCACCCACUGUGAGCAAAAAAACUCCUUGAUGUGAGGAAAUGGAGAGAAUGAAACAGCAUUUGCUUGAAAAAGUGAAGGCAAAAAGCAACGUCAGGAUGAUGCCUAUCCGCUUUGACUCUUCUGAAGGGUAGAGUAGCCCUUACAAAGGCACGCAUCUGACAUUCCAGGGCUACUGAAGGGUUAUUCAACAGACUCUAACAAGAAUACAAGUGUCAGUGCCAGUAACAGUAACGAUCUGGUGGAGACUUCACCAGGAGCUAUGCUUUACCCAGUCUUGAGAUAAUAGACAUGCCACCUGCAUGUACUACUUCCUUGCAUUCUGCCACCAUGUCACCAAUCUGUGACAACAUCAUUAGCUCUCUCAUUAGCUGACUUCAGAUUUAUUUCUUUGUGAUAUCAAAAUCCAAAUUGCUUGAGAAAUACCUGAGUAUAUACUGUUUAACAUAGUAUCAAGAUUUGUUUAAGUGCUAAUAAACAUGGAUGUAAACACA